AGAUGCGAUCAUAUCAUUACUAAAGCACCAGAUUUCAUCAGAACAAAACAAUUAAGCGUGCUUUUGUGAGAGUAGUACAAGAACGGAUGACCUCCUUAGAAGUCAUCUUUUGGAACCU
rnacentral:rRNA from 1 species